rnacentral:rRNA from 1 species
GACGAACGCUGGCGGCGUGCUUAACACAUGAAAGUCGAACGAUGAAGCCGGAGCUUGCUCUGGUGAAUUAGUGGCGAACGGGUGAGUAACACGUGAGUAACCUGCCCUUGACUCUGGGAUAACUGCGGGAAACUGUAGCUAAUACCGGAUACGACCCUCGGAGGCAUCUCCUGGGGGUGGAAAGAAUUUCGGUCAAGGAUGGACUCGCGGCCUAUCAGCUAGUUGGUGAGGUAAAGGCUCACCAAGGCGACGACGGGUGGCCGGCCUGAGAGGGUGACCGGCCACACUGGGACUGAGACACGGCCCAGACUCCUACGGGAGGCAGCAGUGGGGAAUAUUGCGCAAUGGGCGAAAGCCUGACGCAGCAACGCCGCAUGCGGGAUGACGGCCUUCGGGUUGUAAACCGCUUUCAGCAGGGAAGAAGCCGCAAGGUGACGGUACCUGCAGAAGAAGCACCGGCUAACUACGUGCCAGCCGCCGCCGUAA